CUCAUAUUCUUUUUACUUCUUAUUAGUUGUUGUGACCUGUUUUCUCCAUUAGUAUAAAAUGGUGCAUUGGCACAACAUAGUCAUCAGUUGUAUCUGGAAAUUAUCACCAUGAAACUCUUUGCCUUCAUCACGUUGUUCGUGUGCGCCAUCUUGGCUCUGGUCAGCGGCAGCAGUCAGCAGGUGUACCACAGACAGGUGCGCAGCUCAGUGCCUGUCCAGGACGCAGAGCCACAACAACAACCACCGCACUACGGAUACGGAUACGGACGCUAGAGAAUAAAUGCGUCUUUUUUUAUUUUAAAUUUGGAUUUUUGUUUUGUGAUUAUUAAAAUUUUAUUUGGCA